GCCAUAGUAAGACAUGUUUGCUUCUCCUUUGCCUUCCGCCAUGACUGUGUUUCCUGAGGCCUCUCAGCCAUGCUUCCUGUGGAGCUGUGAGUCGAUUAAACCUGUUUUCUUCAUAAAUUACCCAGUCUCAGUUCCAGCAGUGCAGGUGCUUGGGGGAAGGAGUUCCAUCUACAAUCAAGGGGCUCGUGGCAAGGCUCAGAAUAGGUGUUCCAUCUGUACUUGUUUUUGUAAAAUUG